AGAGUUUGAUCCUGGCUCAGGAUGUACGCUAGCUACAGGCUUGACACAUGCAAGUCGAGGGGAAACGAUAUUGGAAGCUUGCUUCCGAUAGGCGUCGACCGGCGCACGGGUGAGUAACGCGUAUCCAACCUGCCCACCACUUGGGGAUAACCUUGCGAAAGUAAGACUAAUACCCAAUGAUAUCUCUAGAAGACAUCUGAAAGAGAUUAAAGAUUUAUCGGUGAUGGAUGGGGAUGCGUCUGAUUAGCUUGUUGGCGGGGUAACGGCCCACCAAGGCAACGAUCAGUAGGGGUUCUGAGAGGAAGGUCCCCCACAUUGGAACUGAGACACGGUCCAAACUCCUACGGGAGGCAGCAGUGAGGAAUAUUGGUCAAUGGACGAGAGUCUGAACCAGCCAAGUAGCGUGCAGGAAGGCGGCCCUAUGGGUUAUAAACUGCUUUUAUAAGGGAAUAAAGUGGGAGUCGUGACUCUUUUUGCAUGUACCUUAUGAAUAAGGACCGGCUAAUUCCGUGCCAGCAGCCGCGGUAAUACGGAAGGUCCGGGCGUUAUCCGGAUUUAUUGGGUUUAAAGGGAGCGUAGGCCGGAGAUUAAGCGUGUUGUGAAAUGUAGACGCUCAACGUCUGCACUGCAGCGCGAACUGGUUUCCUUGAGUACGCACAAAGUGGGCGGAAUUCGUGGUGUAGCGGUGAAAUGCUUAGAUAUCACGAAGAACUCCGAUUGCGAAGGUAGCUCACUGGAGCGCAACUGACGCUGAAGCUCGAAAGUGCGGGUAUCGAACAGGAUUAGAUACCCUGGUAGUCCGCACGGUAAACGAUGGAUGCCCGCUGUUGGUCUGAAUAGGUCAGCGGCCAAGCGAAAGCAUUAAGCAUCCCACCUGGGGAGUACGCCGGCAACGGUGAAACUCAAAGGAAUUGACGGGGGCCCGCACAAGCGGAGGAACAUGUGGUUUAAUUCGAUGAUACGCGAGGAACCUUACCCGGGCUUGAAUUGCAGAGGAAGGAUUUGGAGACAAUGACGCCCUUCGGGGCCUCUGUGAAGGUGCUGCAUGGUUGUCGUCAGCUCGAGUCGUGAGAUGUUGGGUUAAGUCCCGCAACGAGCGCAACCCUUAUCUUUAGUAGCCAGCGGUCAGGCCGGGCACUCUAGAGAGACUGCCAGGGAUAACCUGGAGGAAGGCGGGGAUGACGUCAAAUCAUCAUGCCCCUUAUGACUUGGGCUACACACGUGCUACAAUGGCGUAAACAAAGGGAAGCAAAGCUGUGAAGCCGAGCAAAUCUCAAAAAUAACGUCUCAGUUCGGACUGUAGUCUGCAACCCGACUACACGAAGCUGGAAUCGCUAGUAAUCGCAGAUCAGAAUGCUGCGGUGAAUACGUUCCCGGGUCUUGUACACACCGCCCGUCACACCAUGGGAGUUGGGAAUGCCCGAAGCCAGUGACCUAACCGAAAGGAAGGAGCUGUCGGAGGCAGGCUCGAUAACUGGGGUGAAGUCGUAACAAGGUA
rnacentral:rRNA from 1 species